rnacentral:tRNA from 1 species
UGGGGCGUCGUCAAAUGGUAAGACACAAGGUUUUGGACCUUGCAUUUGGGGGUUCGAAUCCUCCCGCCCCAGCCA